CAGCAGUCGCCACGGUAAUACAGAGGGUGCGAGCGUUAAUCGGAUUUACUGGGCGUAAAGCGUGCGUAGGCGGCUUUUUAAGUCGGAUGUGAAAUCCCUGAGCUUAACUUAGGAAUUGCAUUCGAUACUGGGAAGCUAGAGUAUGGGAGAGGAUGGUAGAAUUCCAGGUGUAGCGGUGAAAUGCGUAGAGAUCUGGAGGAAUACCGAUGGCGAAGGCAGCCAUCUGGCCUAAUACUGACGCUGAGGUACGAAAGCAUGGGGAGCAAACAGGAUUAGAUACCCCUGUAGUCCCUGUCUCUUAUAA
rnacentral:rRNA from 1 species